UUAUCACCCAUAGUUUAAGAUGCCCUGUCUAGGGGAUGGCUUGAGUAAAUUAACAAUCUAGAUUAUCACAGACAUGCUCAUAGGUCAAUUUAAUCUAGACAAUCACUCAACUGAGACUCUCUGGUGAUCCUAGGUUGUGGCAAGCUUGUGUUGAAAACCAACACUGAUAUCUAAUUAACAUUUGCACAAAAUGCUUUCAUCAUUUUCUGUCAACAGCUAUAGGCUUCCAAAGUCUCUCUUUCUUCCUAGGUUAACAGUUACCAGCUACAGUCAAGAUCAGUUCAUGCUGAGCCACGUGAGAGGUCAACUGUGUCUCUAUUCCUUAAAGACAUUACAUUUACUCCAGGAGAGUGAAGGUCAGAGGACAGCUUGAGGGAGAAGGCUCUCUUCCAUCCUUGGGGCCAAACACAAGUCAUCAGGCUUGGCAAUCAGUGAAUUGCUCAGCCAUCAUUCGAGAUGCUUCCUCUUGAAGUAAAUGGGAAUUCACACAGAGAACAUGAGCAGAGAGCAAGAGACUUCAAAACACUCAUCCCUAAAUAAGAUAUAUUCAUCAAGCCUCUCCUCUCAGAAUUCUGGGGGCCAUGGGAAAGGGGAAAGAGAAACAUGGUCCACAGUAUCUCAGUAUAAAACACUGCAGACCAAACUUUACAAAUGGACUUUUGUGGAACACUCAUCCAAACGCAACAGUGAUGAAAUAUGAUAUUCCAACCCUUACCCAACCAACAGCCAAGAACAUACACCCAGCAGCCUGUGGAUGUGUCCAAACGGUAUCAGUUGCAUUCACUUAUAGUAAAUAUUGUACAGCUGAGAUUCCAAUAAAUUCUAUUCAUAAGGUUCAAGCUAAAGGGCCAACCCAUA